rnacentral:rRNA from 1 species
CAAGUCGAGCGGCAGCACAAGGGAGUUUACUCCUGAGGUGGCGAGCGGCGGACGGGUGAGUAAUGCCUAGGGAUCUGCCCAGUCGAGGGGGAUAACAGUUGGAAACGACUGCUAAUACCGCAUACGCCCUACGGGGGAAAGAGGGGGACUUUCGGGCCUCUCGCGAUUGGAUGAACCUAGGUGGGAUUAGCUAGUUGGUGAGGUAAUGGCUCACCAAGGCGACGAUCCCUAGCUGUUCUGAGAGGAUGAUCAGCCACACUGGGACUGAGACACGGCCCAAACUCCUACGGGAGGCAGCAGUGGGGAAUAUUGCACAAUGGGGGAAACCCUGAUGCAGCCAUGCCGCGUGUGUGAAGAAGGCCUUCGGGUUGUAAAGCACUUUCAGUAGGGAGGAAAGGUUGUAAGUUAAUACCUUGCAGCUGUGACGUUACCUACAGAAGAAGGACCGGCUAACUCCGUGCCAGCCGC